CCUACGGGUGGCAGCAGUGAGGAAUAUUGGUCAAUGGGCGAAACCCUGAACCAGCCACGCCGCGUGAGUGAGGAAGUAUCUCGGUAUGUUAAACCCUUUCUGCCGGGGAGCAAAUGACGGUACCUGACCACGGAGCCCCGGCUAACUACGUAGCACCAGCCGCAGUACUAAGGAGGGGGCAAGCGUAAUCCGGAGUUGCUGGGUGUAAAGGGAGCGUAGACGGGUAUGUAGGUCUGGAGUGAAAGCCUGGGGCCCAAACCCCGUACUGCCGUGGAAACUGGGUAACUGGAGUAAGCGAGGGGUAGGCGGAAUUCGUGGUGUAGCGGUGAAAUGCGUAGAUAUCAGGAGGAACCCCGGCGGCGAAGGCAGCAUGCUGG
rnacentral:rRNA from 1 species